CCCCACUCAGGCCCACACCAGAACUGGCGUGAGACAUAGACAGCUGCUGAACAUAUGAGAGUGAACGCUGGCGAGCAACUGGGACGUCAUGAAACCAAACUGGAACAAGAAGAGCACCAAGCAGAAGUGUUCCUGUCCGGCAGUUUUGGAGCGAGGGUGACGUGGAUCCCAUUAGAAGGACUGACCUCCUGCGACGCGCAUCGGAGGGUAUGGGGAGAUAAGCGCGUCGCUCCUGGACCCCUGCCAGGGUUUAAUGGAGCAGUAGUAAAUGAAUUGACGGAGAUGCUUGAUGACCAACAACGACCCAAAACACUCAGGCUUUACUUAAAAACUGGGACAGGCUGAUUUACCCUAAGCUGUUUCAGAUCCAAACGAUUCUAUACCGGUUAUGAAAUUAAUUCAGAUUAACUGCAAAUGCACUGAUCAAAACAAAAUAAAAAGGCAAGGAAGCAUAUCCUGAUUCACACAUCGCAAUGUAUUCACAGUCUCAGUUUAUGCUUUCCUGCAAUAAGCGCUGGCUACAAGUCAAGAAUGUGAACAACAGGGGUCCGAUAAGAGGUAGGGCAGAGGGGUGGGGGGUGAGCCACAGAUCUGAAUUCCCAUGAAUCACUUGGUGCAGUGACCAUUAGGUGCUAGAAUUCGAGUUGACCCGGGAAGAGGCUGUAUCCUGGCACUAAUGAAUCGGAGAGCGACAUGGAUGACCCUCACAUCGCCAAAUCCAACAACACAAGCUAGUUCUCUCUGUAAAGUGAGUAUCAUGAGGGUGAAUAGGAAUCGAGUCCCGGACUGAAAAAGCUAAACAGAUAUUGGAGGGAUUACAGACAUUCAUGUUCCUCGGAGGAUGAUCCCCUGACUCGACCUACACAACUAUUGGUAGUUGUGGGUGUUUUACUAAUGCUACAGCCUCAGAUCCGCUAUCUUUGCUGUACACAUUGUUAAACAUGAAAUUGUUAAAGAAUAAAUAUGUUACAUUUCCUAAA